rnacentral:rRNA from 1 species
AUUGAACGCUGGCGGCAUGCCUUACACAUGCAAGUCGAACGGUAACGCGGGGCAACCUGGCGACGAGUGGCGAACGGGUGAGUAAAGCAUCGGAACGUGCCCAGUAGUGGGGGAUAGCCCGGCGAAAGCCGGAUUAAUACCGCAUACGACCUAUGGGUGAAAGGGGGGGAUCGCAAGACCUCUCGCUAUUGGAGCGGCCGAUGGCAGAUUAGGUAGUUGGUGGGGUAAAGGCCUACCAAGCCGCCGAUCUGUAGCUGGUCUGAGAGGACGACCAGCCACACUGGGACUGAGACACGGCCCAGACUCCUACGGGAGGCAGCAGUGGGGAAUUUUGGACAAUGGGCGCAAGCCUGAUCCAGCCAUGCCGCGUGCGGGAAGAAGGCCUUCGGGUUGCAAACCGCUUUUGUCAGGGAAGAAAUCCUUUGGGUUAAUACCUCGGGGGGAUGACGGUACCUGAAGAAUAAGCACCGGCUAACUACGUGCCAGCCGCCGCAGUAA